AAUCCUUGAGAAGUUGUAAUUUGUAAAAAUGCAAAUUAUCUGAAACCAGAUAUUGUUUUCUUUUUCUUUAUGGAGAGAAACUGGUCUGUUACAUCUAGUAAAGCGUUCUAAUCCGGUUGACCCUCUAGAGGGAGACAUAGUCCAGCUUUUAUACCAAUUGCCUCCUCAUCUUUUACCGUCUCAUUCUUUUUCUGCAGGACCGUUGUUUGCUCUCAACGGCAGUUGCUGGGGCUAACAGAACUGGCUGUUGGGAGAGAGAGGCGAGGCAACGCCGCCCGGCCUUGCGAUUCUAUUUGACUGCUUAACUCAACCUGGAGUGUCAGGACCUAUUCUCCUGCUUUCUCGCUGCACUAUACGGGGGAACCAAGUCACUCUGUACUCACUGGACAGCCAGGCUGGGUGGAAUAGGGUUCUAGAGUGGAGCAGGGGCUCUGCCCUUUAUGGCGACUUUCUAAAAGAUUAGUAUCAGUGUCUUUUGACAGUACAGCCAGGCUGGGUGGAAUAGGGUUCUAGAGUGGAGCAGGGGCUCUGCCCUUUAUGGCGACUUUCUAAAAGAUUAGCAUCAGUGUCUUUUGACAGUACAGCAUCUGGGGUGGGACGCGGAGAGCAGGCUUUGCUUGCUAAACGGCUUCUUUCUCCGCCGGUGAUCUGGAUUUGUUUCCUCGGCCCCCUCCCCCCGCUCCUUUCUUUCUCCCCUCCCGCCUUUAGCAAAGUGACACAGGCGACACCUGCUCGCUUGUGUUCGAUGUUGGAACUCGCACCUCCUCGGUGGUGACGGUGCCAGGGCACUGCUGCCAGGGGGACAUCGGCGGGUUUCCCUUCCUUCCAGCCCACGAUGCCUAGAAGGGCAGCGGGUGGGCUGCGUGGGGCUCUGCCCGCAGCACUUCGAGGCGGGAUUGAGGGGCUGAAGCUGGCCGGGAGUUGCUGCUAGGUGGAUUCGAGUGGAAGGCGCCAAGUCUCCGCGAGGGCACCAGCGGGGACCUAUCUGCGAGCAGUGGGAACAGGGGCACCUGGACGGAGGAACGCGGGCGUCUGGCGGGGGGACAUCGGCUGAGCUCAGAGCCUCUCCUCCUUCCUGUCCCGAGCUUCCCAGCAACUCCGCCACGUUGGAGACCCAGUACCUGCGAGAGCCAGGGAACUCGAGAAGUGCGUGGCCGAGGCUGCUUUCCUGAACACCAGACUUCGGUUCCCUAUGCCCCUGGAUGGUGACGGCGGAUUGGCAUCUUGGAAGCGAUGCGAGAGCGAUAAGGCUGGCGCCGGCCCGCAAAAGCUGCAGGAGCAUCGCUAGGUGUUGCCGCCACCGGGAAGCGGGGCUGCACAAACGACCAGGUCGAGGAUUGAAGUGGGUUGUAAUUCGAUUCCUCACCCAGACCCAUCCUGGCUGGUAACCAUUUUGGACUCUUAAUAAGGAGUUGGGGGUCGCAUUCCAGGGAAGAUCAAAUGUCUCCCAGAUCUUGCUACUAGUACACGGGUUUUCUGCUAACUGCUUUGCCAUCCCUUCCCCCUUCAAUUCUAAAAGGCCAGGUGCCUACCAAGAAGUGUUUUCUUGAGGCUACUGAUCUUCACUUAUCAAUGGGGGAACGUGUUAUUUUCAGAAACUGGCUUUGCAAAGGAAAGUUUGAGAUCCGUCGCCCCAUUUCUCUCAGAACUGCGGGUUGAGUUAUCCUGUCUGAAAAGGAAGAACCAUAGACGCUCGUAGAGCCUUUGGGUGGACGAGAGGCUUCCCUAUUGAGUAUUCCACGUCCUGACCGAGUGUUAAACAAUUGCCUGAAGCGUUUGGAAUCAAAUGUGUAGUAAUGUUACUGCA
rnacentral:lncRNA from 1 species